CUCGGGGAUGGCGGAUGAAUGGGGGUUAGCGUCCAACCUCCUUUCUCCGCUUCAGCCCCGCCCGCCCUGCUAUUCUCCUAGCCGCUUCUCCCGCACAACCUACCGGGGGAGAGGCGGGGGCUGGGGCUCCGGCCGCCCUAGGAGAUCCUCCCCUCCUCCCGCCUGCUUCCCCGCCUCGCUCCCUCUCCCGUCUUUUCUCUUUCCUCCUCUCUCCUCCCCACACCACCCCCGCCACUGGCCCCUCCCCGCCCUCUCCCACCUCCCUCCUCCCUCCCCCCUCCUCCCUCCGCGCCUGGGCCGCUGAAGGCUGAGUCAUCGCUGCGGCGCUGCCGGGAGAGCAGGCGAGCAGCUCACAUCCCACCGCGAUGUGGCCGACAGGAUUCCGGACUUUCGGGAGAAUAUGGUGGAAACUGGAGCUGUUCGCCGUGCACGGGGGUCCGCAGUUGUAGGUUCCUCUGGUUACGCUAUGUGGGAUGCCGCCUCAGCAUGGCCUGAUGAGCAGUGCUAGGUCCGUGCCCAGGAGCUGAACCAGUGAAACCCUCGGCUGCCGAAGUGGAGCUCGCGAACUUAACUACUUAGCUGCAAAACAUAGGGCUGGACCCUAUGUUUUGAUACUUUCAUAAUAAAAAGUUUUUUUGACUUUUAAUUUAAGACUAGUGGGUCUUGCCAUUCAGCUUAUAGAUUAUGAACUUCUGGGAGUAGGAUCCAGGUCUGGAUAAACUAUAUUUCUCUCGCAGCACCG
rnacentral:lncRNA from 1 species